AUUGAACGCUGGCGGCAGGCCUAACACAUGCAAGUCGAGCGGAUGAAGGCAGCUUGCUACUGGAUUCAGCGGCGGACGGGUGAGUAAUGCCUAGGAAUCUCCCUGGUAGUGGGGGAUAACGUCCGGAAACGGGCGCUAAUACCGCAUACGUCCUGAGGGAGCAAGUGGGGGAUCUUCGGACCUCACGCUAUCAGAUGAGCCUAGGUCGGAUUAGCUAGUUGGUGGGGUAAAGGCCUACCAAGGCGACGAUCCGUAACUGGUCUGAGAGGAUGAUCAGUCACACUGGAACUGAGACACGGUCAAGAGUCCUACGGGAGGCAGCAGUGGGGAAUAUUGGACAAUGGGCGAAAGCCUGAUCCAGCCAUGCCGAGUGUGUGAAGAAGGUCUUCGGAUUGUAAAGCACUUUAAGUUGGGAGGAAGGGCAGUAAGUUAAUACCUUGCUGGUUUGACGUUACCAACAGAAUAAGCACCGGCUAACUUCGUG
rnacentral:rRNA from 1 species